rnacentral:lncRNA from 1 species
UUCAACACAAAUAACAAGCAACUGUCAACAAUUCUUUCUUUUCUUUUAAUGUUGGUUCAUCAACACCAACGGUCAAUUUGAACAAAGACUUGUAGGGAUAAUUAUUUGAUAAACUAUGGCUCUCUCUCUCUUUUUUUUCUUUUUUCUUUUGGGUUAGAUUAUGUAAACAGUUCAUUUUUUACCUCUUCCUUCAAAGAUCGUUCUCGAUACAAAGUCAGACAAUUGAGUCAUGUCAUUACCACCACCACCAUCUCUCAGUGUAUUGGACACAAACAAUCUUUUCUCAUCACAAUUAAAAAAGAAUAUAAAGUUGAUAUUUCAAACCAUAUUUGUCUCUUUGUUUGUAAUUUUCUCACGCCAUCACAUGUGGAGGUGAUAUUUGUUUGUACAAAUUUCUCACGUUAUUUGGGUGUAGAUUUUUCGCAUUUCGAGCUUCUUUUUCUUUUUUUUUUUUAAUUUUUGUGAAAUAAACAGGAAUAAAUAGACCAUAUCUGAAGGUGUUGGCCAAAAACCCUGCGAUGCAUAAGUUAAUUCAAUUGGAUCUUUAAUAAAAGAUGUGGCAAUAGCCAAAAUGGAUGGAGUUUUCUCUCACGAGAAGAGCCGGAUGGGCUUAUGUGUGGGAGAGGAAG